UACGGGGGGGAGCAAGCGUUGUUCGGAUUUACUGGGCGUAAAGGGCGCGUAGGCGGCCACCGCAAGUCGACUGUGAAAAUCUCCGGGCUUAACCCGGAAAGGUCAGCCGAUACUGCGGGGCUAGAGUGCAGAAGGGGGCAUGGAGUACGUGUAGCGGUGAAAAUGCGUAGAUAUUGGGAGGAACACCAGUGGCGAAGGCGGCUC
rnacentral:rRNA from 1 species